CCUGCGGCGCACAGCAUCAUUUGUGCAGGAGGCAGGCGUGUCCAUUUGAGUGAACGACGAAGAAGAAGAAGAAGCUUUAGUAGCUCAAGUAUUUGUUAAAAAAAUCUGCUAGUAUGUCUUGCACUCAAUCUUCUAGCCUGAUGGGGAUGAGAGACCUCUCAGAGUGAAUGCAAUAAAACGGAUCAAUGGUUCAAUUAAUGAUCUUUACAGAAGGAUUUCUAGGUCUCGUCCCUCAGUGUUCGAAGCGAGUGAAUCUGAGAACAGUAAGACACCUUCCACAGUGAUCUGUAGAUGAUUUAACAAAUAUAAAGUACUGCUGAGACCUAGCUCAAUUGAUAGAAAGGAAAAGUCUUGUGUAUUCAAGAGUAUUCUAACCUCAAAUCAUAAGCUAGCCUUCGUUCCAAAGUCUCGAUCAUUCGUCAUGCAACGAGAAGGGGGAAAUGGCAACUAGUCAACAAACAUCGAAAGAAUUCAUGCUGCUUUUUCUAUUAUUCAUUUCCAUGAGAUGCGCACCAUCUUCUCAAAAAGACUGCACGUCUUUCAAUGCCGCAGAUUACAUUGGCCAGGAUACCGAAGGACGACACAUCUCAUAUGGCGACUGCUCGUUCAAGAACACGUUUUGUUACUACACACAAGCUUGUACCAGCGGUGAUGCUAACAAAUGGACUACAACAAACGGCGGCGCCGUGUGUCCUGGGAAAACCGGACUGUUCGACUCUUUUUCCGUCCUCCUGUCACCUUUGUUGACUAUCACACAAAAUACAUCUCUUGUCUUCAACUUUUCUCAGACCACGCCAGGGACGCUCAGUGUGUUUAUAGUAACAUUUACAGAGAUAACUGUAAAGCUUGAAGAAGUUGUAUCUGAUGGGUCUUUCCAUAAAGAGGUGAACAUCGAGCCAGCAGUCCUUAAGAUCGGCUUCAGAGCCCGGACAGCAAACACUGGCAAGAACGUGACUCUGAUUUACGUGAAGCUUCAAACAGAAACCUACACAUCUAGUACAACACCAUUGAGCACAAGUGACAAAUCACUCACCACCACGACUAUCACAAACUCGUCGCACGUCACUGACAACCUCCUCGACUGGCAGCACUCGUGGCACGUCACUGACAGCCUCCUCGACUGGCAGUACUCAUGACAUGUCACUCACGACCUCCUUGGCUGAAGCAGGAGCGACAAGUGGAAGUAACGUCGGUGUAAUUGUAGGUGUUGUCGUAGCUGUGGUUGUUGUGGUUGUUGCUGCCGUCGUAUUUGGAUUUUUUAUUUGGAGACGCCGCCAACAGCGAGAGAAUCGUAGAGGUGGACAGAAGGCUGUGAAAGGCGGCGAGAACUCAUACCAGAAUGCAGACACAAGGUAUAUAUCGCCAGCCACAACAGGGAUGCCAUCACAAUACAACCUGCCAGCAAAUCACACUGUGAAUUCUGCAAACGCCAGUCACAAACACUACCCCUGGCAUCUCGGGUAUCGGCAGCAGCCAGUACGAUGUUCCACGCAAUGGAAUACCACACGGAUACGCCGUACUCAAAUAUGAGCAGAGUCGUCCUUCUGAACUGACCUGUCCUACCGGUGAUAAUGAACAGGACUGUUACAACAUUAUAGAGGAGGACAGCGACAGGGAUACCUUGUCACAGAGCAAUGUUUACAGUUAUGCCAGGAACGAGGGUCUUAACACAUCAAGUUCCAACAAUCCUGAAGGAAAUUACGACAGGACAGACACACAUGGAGUCGUGUCCGACUGGCAAGGAAAGAGUAGUAGCGCUCCUCCUGACGAUGACUACAACCACAUCGUGUCCACAGACAGACCGAGACAGAAGACUGGUCUGGCAGCGGGGAAGAUGGAGCCUAAUUACUUCCUGGCAAGAGGCAGAGAUGAAAACGACUGUGAUAGAAAGACCACAUAAAUGAAGAUGACGAAUACAGUGUCCUGCGUGACGGCAACAACCAGCUCAGGGAAUUCAACGGUCAGCAAGCCGCCGAGACGUAUGACCACGUGGGAGGUGACGUUCACGGUGACUAUGACAGAAUCCGACAGGGAGAUCGUACCGAUGUCAUCGGCUCUGACUAUGACCACGUGACGUAACCAGGCGAUGAGCUGUAGUAGUGGAUGUGCUUAACGUGGGUAACAGCCUCUAAGUGUUGUUACUAUGACAACACAGUUAAACUUCACCAACAACCUUCAACCAUAGAAGUGCUUUGUUUACUCUAGCCCCAGUUUAACUUGAAUAGUAUCCUGAGAUCAUGUGUAGAAGGUCGACGAUUGAGAAAAACAUCAAUGCAAAUUGUGUAAAGUGUAAACACCUAUACUUGUCACCUCACCUUGCUGACAUACUACAUGACAGUUGUGUAUGAAAUCAACUGAUAUUUUCAUCAAUUUUUGAUAUAUUUACCUUUAUAUCAUACCUAUAUAUUUCUUUUAUUUUAUAACCACACACAUUUUAUUUAACACAUUCAUAGUGUGAAUCAAUAAUAAUACGGUGAUGUAAUCUUUUAUGAAGUGAACAAGUCGACCAAUGAAGGUGUUGGAAAGAAGGACAGUGACGCUUAUCCGAUAAAAUGUAAAAUAUGAGACGGAUGUACCUUUCUCAUGGUUUAAAAAAAAAUUAAAAACAAAAAUUCAUUUGCUUUAAAGUAUUUAAUCCUUCAUAAAUACAGGUAUAGCACGUUUUUAUUUUAUGAACUUCUAUAUCUUAUGUCAAUAAAAAUUAUAGGUUCAGAUCAUAUGUAUGGAUUGAAAUAUUUAAAUACUUUUUCUGAAUGUUUUUCACUUGAGUCGCGUUGUCCAGUCCUAGGACAAUUUUUUCAGCAUGUGAGCAGUUUUAAUUCGCAGACAUCUCGAUCUGUGAUCAACACAGAUAUCUUUAUAUGCCACAUGCCACUUGCAGGGAUGAGAGAAAGGAGAAUAUACUCUGUGUGUGUGUGUAUGCGGACGUUUGAACGUGUGAGUGCACGUGUAUGUUGUGAACCUGACAAGGGGAGAUAAAUGAGUAGCUGUAGUCGUUGUAGUCUAACAAAGUCUUUCAUUGAGAACAGGCGACACGUGUGCAGUCAUCUGUUUAUUUGUAUUUAUAAUCAAUUACAAAAAUGAGGAGUGAGACAAAA